AUUGAACGCUGGCGGCAUGCUUUACACAUGCAAGUCGAACGGCAGCGCGGGCUUCGGCCUGGCGGCGAGUGGCGAACGGGUGAGUAAUACAUCGGAACGUGCCCAGUAGUGGGGGAUAGCUCGGCGAAAGCCGGACUAAUACCGCACACGACCAGAGGGUGAAAGCGGGGGAUCUUCGGACCUCGCGCGUUUUGAGCGGCCGAUGGCAGAUUAGCUAGUUGGUGGGGUAAAGGCCUACCAAGGCGACGAUCUGUAGCUGGUCUGAGAGGACGACCAGCCACACUGGGACUGAGACACGGCCCAGACUCCUACGGGAGGCAGCAGUGGGGAAUUUUGGACAAUGGGCGAAAGCCUGAUCCAGCAAUGCCGCGUGUGUGAUGAAGGCCUUCGGAUUGUAAAGCACUUUUGGCGGGAACGAAAAGGACUGUGCCAAUCCCACGGUUCGAUGACGGUACCCGCAGAAUAAGCACCGGCUAACUACGUG
rnacentral:rRNA from 1 species